GAUGAACGCUGGCGGCGUGCCUAAUACAUGCAAGUCGAGCGAAUGGAUUAAGAGCUUGCUCUUAUGAAGUUAGCGGCGGACGGGUGAGUAACACGUGGGUAACCUGCCCUUGACUCUGGGAUAACUGCUAGAAAUGGUAGCUAAUACCGGAUACGACCCUCGGUGGAAUCACCAGGGGGUGGAAAGAAUUUCGGUCAAGGAUGGACUCGCGGCCUAUCAGCUAGUUGGUGAGGUAACGGCUCACCAAGGCGACGACGGGUAGCCGGCCUGAGAGAGUGACCGGCCACACUUGGACUGAGACACGGCCCAGACUCCUACGGGAGGCAGCAGUGGGGAAUAUUGUACAAUGGGCGCAAGCCUGAUGCAGCAACGCCGCGUGAGGGAUGACGGCCUUCGGGUUGUAAACCUCUUUUAGUAGGGAAGAAGCGAAAGUGACGGUGCCUGCAGAAAAAGCACCGGCUAACUACGUGCCAGCAGCCGCCGUAA
rnacentral:rRNA from 1 species